UACAGAGGUGGCAAGCGUUGUUCGGAAUUACUGGGCGUAAAGGGCGCGUAGGCGGUUCGUCAAGUCCUGUGUGAAAUCCCCCGGCUCAACUGGGGAACUGCACAGGAAACUAGCGGGCUUGAGUGCAGGAGAGGAACGCGGAAUUCCAGGUGUAGCGGUGAAAUGCGUAGAUAUCUGGAGGAACACCGGUGGCGAAGGCGGCGUUCUGGACUGUAACUGACACUGAUGAACGAAAGCCAGGGGAGCAAACGGG
rnacentral:rRNA from 1 species